rnacentral:lncRNA from 1 species
UGGGGAGAAGAUUAAGGGACUAAUCCUAUGCACAAAAUUAAAAGUUGAGAGUUGAAAAGAUCUGACCAAAUGGGUAGCAAUCCAAUAGACAGGAAUGUCAAUAGAAACCCAUAAUUCCCUUGGAUAUUUUAGAAUUAAGCAACACACAAAAGCACAAUUAUAUUAUCUUGAAGAGCAAGGCAUCAAAUAAAGAUAACCACAUCCAAGCUUUAGCCAUUCCAUGAUCUUCAUUAAAAUAGCCCAUGUAACAGAUGAAUUUCACAAGUCACAAGUUCAAAAUAAC